AUACGUAGGGGGCGAGCGUUGUCCGGAAUGAUUGGGCGUAAAGGGCGCGUAGGCGGCCUGUUAAGUCUGGAGUGAAAGUCCUGUUUUUAAGAUGGGAAUUGCUUUGGAUACUGUCGGGCUUGAGUGCAGGAGAGGUAAGUGGAAUUCCCAGUGUAGCGGUGAAAUGCGUAGAGAUUGGGAGGAACACCAGUGGCGAAGGCGACUUACUGGACUGUAACUGACGCUGAGGCGCGAAAGUGUGGGGAGCAAACAGGAUUAGAUACCCUGGUAGUCCACACUGUAAACGAUGAAUGCUAGGUGUAGGGGGUGUCGACCCCUUCUGUGCCGCAGUCAACACAAUAAGCAUUCCGCCUGGGGAGUACGGCCGCAAGGUUGAAACUCAAAUGAAUUGACGGGG
rnacentral:rRNA from 1 species